CUGGAGUGUGCCGAGAACCAGGGUGAC
rnacentral:piRNA from 1 species